rnacentral:lncRNA from 1 species
GCAGAUGAGGAAGCCAAGGUCCAAUGAUGUGAAGGGCUCCACCCACUGUCGCACAGCUGUGGGUCCCAGAGCUGGACUGGAACCUGCUUUCUCUUACUCUGUUUGCUUCUUCUCUCCUACUGGCACGUCAACCGGAUCCCACACACAAAAACAGUCCCCGUCCCUGGCCAGAACCGGUUCUUUUGUAGCCAGAGCCAUCCUCCUCCAGCUGGGGAGUCGUGUGGGCCUGCCUGCAGACUGACGGUUGGUUGGAGGGAGGGUGUUUCUAAACACCUGAAAGACUGCAGUUGAUGGCUAUCAAGCCCCAACCAGCCUCUUCUGUCUGCCAGAGACAAAGCAAGAAUGUUCCCCUCCUGAGGUCUCAGUUUACAGGCUUGUCACAUUGAUAAUUAGGCAAGGCUCGCCACCUGCACUCCUGUUUAGAGGUUCCUCCCGAGACAGUCCUGACAUCGCCUUUAAUCAGCCCAGCUGUGACUCCACCUGUUUCCACUGCCACCUCCAGACAGAGGGGAUUGCUCUAGGGCCAGAAGGCUAUGAACUGGGCCGACUUUGUGGGACAGCACAACCAGUUGGAUAAUCUGAUAAGACCAAGAAGGAUAAUCCUUUCCUGUCCUCCUAGGAGAAUCAAGUCCCUCAAGCCUGAAAUUCCAUCUUUAGUGCACACUUUGUGCUGAGCAUUACCCUCUGUGAUAAUCCUCAUUUCAAGUAAAAAAAAAAAAAAAAACCCUCUAGGAGGGCAGGAAUAUAAAUUUUUAGCAUUGCAAUACAUUGAUCAGACUGGGAAAGGUAGCGUGAAAAUCUUGGGUGUUGGAGGUGCGGGCCCGCACGAGAACUGGGGGGAGGGAGUUCAAGAAGUUGAUGUACGCUGAGUGCUAAAGAGGAGUCAUGGCACCCAAGGCAAAAUGAGAGUGUUUCCUGAGGGGCCAGAGUUACAGGUCCUUGUUUCCUCUUCCCCCUGAGAGAGACAGAAAAACAAUUUUUUUAAACCCAUAGACUUCCAUGCAUAUGAAUUCACAGUGACUGUUGUGGACACUGUUGUUUGGCCAUCCAACAAAACAACAUUCCCUUUUCUUUGGGGGACCAUUCUUUCCAUCUUUUACGUCUAUGUGGUUCAGGGAAAGCUGACUUCACCCCCACACUUCACCCCUUUAGGCCUGGACCUCCACAUUGUCGUACCCCAUAGUCCUGCUGGCUACCGUCACUGUUACAUGGACCAACAGGCAUGUGGCCUGUGCUAAACCAUUUAAACUCAAAUGUAGGGCUUUUACUGAAACUACUGGGGAAGGAACCACCUCUCUGCUGGUCGUGCUAAGCUGAUGGAACAGAAGCCAGCUAGUGAUCUUAUGAUGACACAUGAGGUAUGUGCCCAUUGGGAGUGAAACCAAUUCAGAGGAGGAUGGAAUCAAAGCUUUAGAGAGCCACACUGCUUAUGAUAGCAUUCGCACACCUGGCUCUCACUGCACCUGCAGCCAGCACAACCUCAGACUUUUCGGUUGCUUGAGCCAAAAAACGUCUGCCUCUUUCUUAAGCCAGUUUGAGUUUCUGAUGCAACAGAACAAGUUCUAAGUAUAACACAGACUUUAUCGUAUGGCUCACAAUGCUGCUUGUCCUCAGCUGGUGGCACCCUCCUUCUCCACCUGAUUCUGCUGCAUUCUAGUGAAUUUGGCUCAAACCUGGGCCUUGGUGUGGUCAUCAGUUAACUGGGGGGCGAUAACAGGACAGAUAGAAAGGAGGGAAAGAG